rnacentral:tRNA from 1 species
GCAAUCGAAGGGUUGCAGGUUCAAUUCCUGUCCGUUUCA